GCCAGGCGCGGAGCCCGGGGCCGGGAUGCGGGCGGACCCCGCGGAGGGGAAUCAAACUGCUCUGCCCGGGCAUCGGGGCUGGGCCGCCCUGUGCCCGCCGCCCAGCGCGCCCGGGACUCGGCUGAGCCCCACCGUGCCACGGGUGUCGAGCUCUCGCAGCCAGGAGCGGUUUCGGGCUGAUCUGAAGUUUGCUCGCUGAGCAUGACGGCACCUCAGCUUUUCUGUGCAGUAACAACUGAGCAGAUCGGGCACUAAGGCGCUGCAUACCUGUGUCAGCACAGAGCGCCGUUCCUGCUGCGCUGUGGGAUCAGACAGCAUUGGCCAAUACAUGCAACUCUUUAUACAGUGUGCUUCUUCAACAAAGAUUUUCUUCUGCUUUUUCACUGGAGACUAACCCUGAAGCCACCUGUUUUGACAGAUCCUAGAGGUUAUUCACACCCUGAAUAACCACAUGCCAUUAUCAGGCACACCCCAUUAAUCUCUGUAUGUUUCUUAAACCAAAAAAUUUAUCACUGGUGAGUCAGAUGCAUUUUCCGUGGUCCAGUUUUCAGAGAGGCAACGUUCAAUGAAUUGAUCCAUCAAGACUCUCAGGAACAAUUUCACUGAGGACCUUAUGUGCCACUGAUGAAAAAAAGUGACUGCUGAGUGCAUAAAGAAAAUUGCUGUUGAAUUUUGCCACAACUUCAUCCUUCUUCAAGACAGAAAGAUCUUAAUGCUAGUAGUCAUCAAGAUCUGUGCUCCAAUGACUUUAAUCAACAGUCUUCAGCAAAUCAGAUUUGUUACUGUCUCAAUAUAUUAAAAACACAGAUGCAAGGCGAUGCAGCUGGAUCAAGUAGCUAUCAUUCCCAUAUAAACUUGAAAGAUAUUGAAUGUGAAUCUGAAUUAUGUAUUUCAAACUGAAAUGGCAGAAACUACUAAAUUUCUAAUAUCUAGACAACUGUAAUUUCUGGUUCGAAUUACUGAAUAUAAGAUUAUUUUUCCUCCAUAUCUUUCUAUAAAAUAACAUAUUUUUACUCCUCCUUAUGAUAAAAAUUGUAUCUGUUACAAAAAAAUAAGACAAAAAGUACACUCUAAUUAAUGAAGACUUAAACCAGUGAUAGUUAACCUGGAUACAAUUUAUGCAGUUAUGACGAUGCUUCAGAAUUGCAAAUCAAACUAAUAUGUGUUCUGUUGAAAGUGAAGCAAACAAAAGUGAAUCUGUUCUAUUCUAAGUCACAUCACAGAAACAUUUAAUGCUUCUCUAGUUAAACAUAAUAGAAAUUACUCUUGGAAAACAACCAGAACCUCUUCUGCACUAUUCUACUGACUCACCAAUUCAGAACAAAUUGAACUCCAGCCUCCUGGCUUCAAGGGCAAGAUCAAGAUCCUCUGUGAUUCCUAAGGAUGCAAAUUUACCUGAUGCUUCAAGGUGCAUGCAGAAGUGUUUUCAAGGUUGCUGAAAGUCUGACUUUUCAAAGGCCACAGAUAUUGAAAUCUCCUAUUCCCUUUAAAUUACACAAAAGCAGGUAAAAGACUGGACUAAAGGAUCACCUGGGGAAUAAUGAGGAAGAGGGAAAUACCUUAAAAUUAUUUUAAAUUCAUAAGGAAGCUUUUAAUUUUUUCUUUCUUCUUUCUAAUAAGUUUUAUUA